UGUUUCAGAGCGGUGCUGUGAGGGUCCUGAUCCCUGUUAUUUAGGCCCACCGAGAGGAUCAGCAGUUGUGCUUGGUAAUUGAUCGGUGUUUUGGCCAGGAUUUUUCCAAAAUGGUAGAAGGAAGCUCCCGGGUAACUGUCAGCCUGGAUGAAAGGGUGGUUAAAUUUAGGAAUACUGAGGAUAUUUGAAUCCCCCAGUAUCGCGAUGGGUUUGUUAAUUUUAAACUCCCAAUCCCGCAGUUUGCGGUUGUCGUAGGUUAGGUGGUGCGUGGGGUCAGAAGUGACCUCAUCCGUGGCCAUGUCUCCAGCAGGAGGGGCAUCCUCCUCGGCGCGUGCUCCAGGCUGGUGUGAGGUUCUGCACUUUGCCGCAGAGCUGCUGCCGAUUUGGACCGUUCAUUGUCCCACCUCUGCUGGACACAGGGGUCCUGGAAGUGGAAACCACCGAUCAGUUGUAUGCCAGAACUGCGGGAUUGGGAGACCUGUUUUUCGUUAUUGUUUUUAUGGGAAAGUGUGGUUAUUUCCACAGGCUGACAGUCAAACCCGGGAGCCCUGGUGUUCACCGUCCUCUGGGGGCAGCACCUGUCGGAGGAAGUGUGAGGUGAGUGGUUCUGUGUGACCAGGAGUGUGUCCACAGGCUGUGGGGAAGAAUCAUUAGGCUGGGAAAAAGGGGGGUUAGAAUCAGACAAAUUGGUGUAAAACAAAAGGUCAUCAUCUGUGAGAGAAGAAGGGGAAGGAGGAGGAGAAGAGGGGCAGGAAGCGGUAACUGUGGGGAAAAGUAAGUCAUGUGCAUCAGUAAGUGUAUGAGGACUCAUUUUAUUUUCAUAGCGUCUGUGUGCCCACUGUGUGGCUACUGUAAAUGCUAGGUGGUCCCCUGUGAUGUUUGUGAGGUGUGUUAUGGUGUUAUUGUAAUGUUUUAAUAAAAUGUGCAUGUUGUUGUGCAUCCAUUUUGUGGUGUUGUCCCUUAAAAUGUCUGAUGUUUCUUGUGUGGGUGAAGAUGGUUUGAUGAAAGCAGCCAGUUUAAGAGUCUGUCUCCACAUUCCUGCUGGAAAUAGUCCUUCAUCAUUUGUCCGUAGUAAGUUGUUUUUAUGAUGUAAUGCUUGUAUAAGUUUGAAGUGUUGUUUUGCUAAUGUUCUGGUGGAUGUGUCUAAUGCUAGUUUAGGUGGUAUGUGUGUGCUUGUAGGUGAAAUGUUUGUUCUGUGUGUGGUUCUCCCUCCGCUAACCUGCCGAGUGUGUGUGGAAAGAGGAAAAGAGUUUUUGUGAUUAGCAGCUGUGGGUCCGCCUGUUCCCCCCCGACCUCGCUCCUGUCGGGGAUCGCCGCCCUCCACCCUGUAAGCACCCGUGUGUGUUUCACCCACCUGUGUCCGUCUCCCGCUGCGCUGCUGCUGCGGUCUCUGCGCCAUCCCGUGUCGUUCCGUGAUUCCGGGGUUCCUAUAGUGUAGGCUUGGAGGAAUAUAGUCCGUGCUAAAUGCAGCGGGGAAAUCCGACAGGUGCGGGAGAGGAAAGUGAGGCGCUCGGGCAAGCGGAGGUGUUUUCACCGGGUGCUGUUUAAAACUUAACUUUUAAUGAUUGUAAAUUUAAAACCAACGAGGGUCUCGUUCCGAAUAAACAAUUUGCUAAUUAAAAAGUUUGUAAAAGGCAGCGAUCCAGCCGAGCGAGCGGGCUCCCCUGACGUUUCGUGCCCUGCCGGCACUUCUUCAGAGGGGAAGAGAAGGAGGAAGCAGGCUGCGGGGUGAGAGGGCAGUUUAUGAAUGGAGAAUAGACUCUCUCCAUCCAAUCGGCUGCCCUCUCACUCCCGAUUGGCCCACAGCUGCGGACCCGCCCAGAAUGGAGUUGGGCCUAUGAGAAAAAGAGGUGUGAAAGGAAAUAUAAAAGAGGGAAGUGAUGAUAGGUGAGGGAAAGGUGUGGGAGGAGUCGUGGAGGCAUGAUCUGUGGGUGAAAAAAGGAAUACAAAUUAAAAAGUCCAGGUGUGUUACCCCCAGAGGGAUGGCAAUGGGUUAUUGCUGAGCUGAUCCCCCCGGUGGACCUGUGCAACUGCACAUAAUAUGUUUAAUAAAUAACAAAAGGAGAGAACGAGGGGAAGUUGGCUUCCUGAGCUGCACCUGUGAGUAAAAAGAAAUAAAUGAAAAGAAAAGUGAUGUAAAUAAAAUUGUUAUAAAAAUCAUCUGGUGAUGGUAAUAGUAGGAAUAAUAAUGGUAAUAAUAAUCCUAAUAAUAGUGAUAAUUAUAAUAGAAUAGGUUUAAGUUGUAAUUAUGGAGUUUACUUAAGGUUUAUUGAGGUUUUAGGGUUAGGCACAUGAAUCCAAAUGGUUAGGUUUAGGGUGAAUGAAAGGUGGGGUAUAGCCCAUAAUAGUUAGGGUUAGGGUUAGGGUUAGGGUUAGGGUUAGGGUUAGGGUGGUUAGGGUUAGGGUUAGGGUUAGGGGGUUAGGGUUAGGGUUAGGGUGUGGGAAUUAGUCCUAAAAUAGGACUGAGGCCCCACCCUCGCUGAAUGAGGAUGAGGCGGUGCGCGGUCCAUCCUCCGUCCGGCCCUCGCUCCCACGCGAUCAUCAUCAUAGUUCUGAUAAGCACGCUCUCUAGCGCGAUCCUGUCUCCUUCCUCUCCUAACAGUCUGCCAUUCCCCGUCAUCGUGGUAGUCCAUGUCUGUGUCACGUGCUGUGUGUGUGUAUACCCAGUUGUAUUUUAUCAGUCUGAUGUGCUUGAUCAUGAAAAUGAUUUUUAAUAAAACUGUCUCUGAACAGCACAGUCAGAUGUGACCCUCUGAUGGGUCAAGUACACGUUGUACAGCAAGAAACAAUAAAAUAUACACACCACUUUUAUGAUGAUGCUGGUAAGCGGUGUAUUUAUGUAAUAAUGUGAAUUAAUGUAGCCUUUGUUAUCUAUUAAUAAUGUAAAACAACUAAAAUCUUGAAACUAAAAAUGAUUAAAGGAAAGAACUAAAAGCGUAGACAAAAGGUCUAGAAAAACUAUUUUAAAUUUAUAUAAUUUUUAGAAAAGUUUUAUCCAAUUGUGUGUGUCUAAAUCGCGACGUUUCGACCUGUCAGAGGUCUUCCUCAGGCUUAGACACACUUUGAAAUGUAAAAGGCUUGUUUUCUAACUUGGCAGAGCUCCUGUCCGUACCAACAUCAGUGUGAGAGUGAGAGCUGUGUCCCCUCUCCACUCGUAUUUAUACCCGCCCACUGCUGUAGCUGGGUUUUGACUGCUGCAGUAAGAGCAUUUACAUGAGCGUGCUUUUAUUUUGUAAGGUUCGUGUUCGAAGCUGAAUGCACAAACUCAAUAAGCCAAUUAUGGGCAAUAAAAGUUAAUUAAAGUUAAAUAAAGGGUUAAAUUAUGUUCAGGUGUGUCCCUGUGAACUGUCAACUUGAAGUUGGUAUAAAGUCAAACCAUAAAUUAAAGUAAAAUAAGAAGUAAUUGAUUUUUUUAAAGGUUCGUGGACACCCAUAUAAAAUACAAAAUACCUAUUUUUAACUCUAUUUACACUCUAGGAACUAGUAAUGAAC
rnacentral:lncRNA from 15 species